AGCGACAUUUUCAGAGCUAUAAACAGUAUCAUUGUCAUAGCUCUUUGAAUGGUACUGC
rnacentral:pre_miRNA from 1 species